AAAAACUCAAUUUCUGGGUUUCCGUAUCCAACAUUUAACCAUUCGUCUUAUUUAAAAAAGUAUAAAAAAAAUUAAAAAGAUAAGUCGUGCAUAAAGUAUUAUUUAUGUUUUAUCAUCUAACAAUAAUAAAAAUACUAAUUAUAAAAAAAAUUCAUAUAAGACGGACGGUCAAACGUUGGACACAAAAACCGAAGAAUUUGGUUUUU
rfam:Oryza glumipatula chromosome 2, whole genome shotgun sequence.